rnacentral:rRNA from 1 species
AGAUGCCUAUCGCAUCUUUCCCUUCGGGGACAGAAGUGACAGGUGGUGCAUGGUUGUCGUCAGCUCGUGUCGUGAGAUGUUGGGUUAAGUCCCGCAACGAGCGCAACCCUUGCCUUUAGUUGCCAGCAUUAAGUUGGGCACUCUAGAGGGACUGCCAGGGAUAACCUGGAGGAAGGUGGGGAUGACGUCAAAUCAUCAUGCCCCUUAUGCUUAGGGCUACACACGUGCUACAAUGGGUGGUACAGAGGGCAGCCAAGUCGUGAGGCGGAGCUAAUCCCUUAAAGCCAUUCUCAGUUCGGAUUGUAGGCUGAAACUCGCCUACAUGAAGCUGGAGUUACUAGUAAUCGCAGAUCAGAAUGCUGCGGUGAAUGCGUUCCCGGGUCUUGUACACACCGA